rnacentral:tRNA from 1 species
AUUUAUAUAGUAUAAAUAUUAUAAUUGAUUUCCAAUCAAUAGAUCUAACAUUUAGUAUAAAUA